rnacentral:rRNA from 1 species
GACGGAGGGGGCUAGCGUUGUUCGGAAUGAUUGGGCGUAAAGCGUCUGUAGGUGGCUUUUUAAGUCUGCCGUCAAAUCCCAGGGCUUAACCCUGGACAGGCGGUGGAAACUACCAAGCUGGAGUACGGUAGGGGCAGAGGGAAUUUCCGGUGGAGCGGUGAAAUGCGUAGAGAUCGGAAAGAACACCAACGGCGAAGGCACUCUGCUGGGCCGACACUGACACUGAGAGACGAAAGCUAGGGGAGCGAAUGGG